rnacentral:sRNA from 1 species
GCAGCAGCAAAUUCCGCUGCCGGGUUUCACAGCCUGUUUAUCGAGUUGGUGCCAGAACACGCACCCAAAGCGUGUUUUUU